GUGCCAGCCGCCGCGGUAAUACCGGCAGCUCGAGUGAUGGCCAAUCUUAUUGGGCCUAAAGCGUCCGUAGCUGGCCGCACAAGUCCGUCGGGAAAUCCACUCGCUUAACGAGUGGGCGUCCGGCGGAAACUGUGCGGCUUGGGACCGGAAGAUCCGAGGGGUACGUCUGGGGUAGGAGUGAAAUCCCGUAAUCCUGGACGGACCACCGAUGGCGAAAGCACUUCGAGAAAACGGAUCCGACAGUGAGGGACGAAAGCCAGGGUCUCCAACCGGAUUAGAUACCCGGGUAGUCC
rnacentral:rRNA from 1 species